AUUGAACGCUGGCGGCAGGCCUAACACAUGCAAGUAGAGCGAGAGGCGGACGGGUGAGUAAUGUAUGGGGACUGCCCGCUAGAGGGGGAUAACUACUGGAAACGGUGGCUAAUACAGCAUACUAUCGGAUAACCCAUAUGGGAUUAGCUAGUGGGGGGGGUAAAGGCUCACCUAGGCGACGAUCUCUAGCUGGUCUGAGAGGAUGAGCACCCACACUGGGACUUGGACACGGCCCAGACUCCUACGGAGGCAGCAGUGGGGAAUAUUGCACAAUGGGCGCAAGCAUGAUGCAGCCAUGCCGCGUGUAUGAAGAAGGCCUUAGGGUUGUAAAGUACUUUCAGCGGGGAGGCGUUACCCGCAGAAGAAGCACCGGCUAACUCCGUGCCAGCCGCCGCGGUAAUAC
rnacentral:rRNA from 1 species